rnacentral:rRNA from 1 species
CUGAACGCUUGUGCGGCGUGGCUAAGACAUGCAAGUCGUACGGUGUAGCAAUACACAGUGGCGGACGGGUGAGUAAUGAAUCGCUAAUGUACCCCGAAGUCCGGGAUAGCCGGCCGAAAGGCCGGGUAAUACCGGAUGAGACCACAGGGCCGCAUGGUCCGGUGCUCAAAGGGUCACCGCUUCGGGAGCAGGCGAUUUCGUAUCAGGUAGUUGGUGAGGUAACGGCUCACCAAGCCGACGACGCGUAGCCGGGCUGAGAGGUCGGCCGGCCACAUUGGGACUGAGACACUGCCCAGACUCCUACGGGGGGCUGCAGUAUCGAAUCUUCCGCAAUGCACGAAAGUGUGACGGAGCGACGCCGCGUGUAGGACGAAGCCCUUCGGGGUGUAAACUACUGUCAGGGGAAAGAAAGUUCUGAUCUACCCCAAAGGAAGAGGCGGCUAACUCUGUGCCAGCAGCCGCGGUAGGACAGAGGCCUCGAGCGUUAGGCGGAAUCACUGGGCUUAAAGCGUGUGUAGGCGGAAGGGUAAGUACCUUGUGAAAUCCCACGGCUCAACCGUGGAACUGCUCGGUAUACUGCUCUUCUUGAGCAAUCCAGGGGCGAGUGGAACAGAUGGUGGAGCGGUGAAAUGCGUAGAUAUCAUCUGGAACGCCUGUGGUGAAGACGACUCGCUGGGGAUUUGCUGACGCUGAGACACGAAAGCCAGGGGAGCGAACGGGAUUAGAUACCCCGGUAGUCCUGGCCCUAAACGAUGUCCACUAGAUUGUGGUGACUCUGACGUCGUCACGGUCGAAGCAAAAGUGUUAAGUGGACCGCCUGGGAAGUACGGUCGCAAGGCUAAAACUCAAAGGAAUUGACGGGGGCUCACACAAGCGGUGGAGCAUGUGGUUCAAUUCGAAGCAACGCGCAGAACCUUACCUGGGCUUGACAUGCAUUGUUCAGUCGAUGAAAGUCGAUGGCGUAGCAAUACGCGAAAUGCACAGGUGCUGCAUGGCUGUCGUCAGCUCGUGUCGUGAGAUGUUGGGUUAAGUCCCGCAACGAGCGCAACCCUCGCCCUUAGUUGCCAUCAUUAAGUUGGGCACUCUAAGGGGACUGCCGGUGAUAAGCCGGAGGAAGGUGGGGAUGACGUCAAGUCCUCAUGGCCCUUACGGGCUGGGCUACACACGUGCUACAAUGGUGGUGACAGUGGGCAGCGAGACCGCGAGGUCGAGCUAAUCUCCAAAAGCCAUCUCAGUUCGGAUUGCACUCUGCAACUCGGGGUGCAUGAAGUUGGAAUCGCUAGUAAUCGCGGAUCAGCAUGCCGCGGUGAGUACGUUCCCGGGCAUGCACUCACCG